rnacentral:tRNA from 1 species
AGCUCAGGCCGGAGCGUCCCGAUAGCCAUCGGGAAGGUCAUCGGUUCGACUCCGAUAUUCUCCA